UACGUAGGGUGCAAGCGUUUGUCCGGAAUUACUGGGCGUAAAGCGUGCGCAGGCGGUUUUGUAAGUCUGUCGUGAAAGCCCCGGGCUCAACCUGGGAAUUGCGAUGGAGACUGCAAGGCUUGAAUCUGGCAGAGGGGGGUAGAAUUCCACGUGUAGCAGUGAAAUGCGUAGAGAUGUGGAGGAACACCGAUGGCGAAGGCAGCCCCCUGGGUCAAGAUUGACGCUCAUGCACGAAAGCGUGGGGAGCAAACAGG
rnacentral:rRNA from 1 species